GAAAGGUUGACUGGGUAUCUCGCUAACUCUCUAGGGUACGCUGCCUUCUCCUUUCUGUGUUUUCGCGUUACUUUAAGGCAAACCCAACAGAAAAGUGUUCGCCGCUCUGUUUUAAUUUUUAGGUAAGCCGAUUCGAUCUCUUCCUAUCAUUAUUGUUUUCUUUUGCUAUUUUUUCAUUCAGAAGAAGUAAUUCCUUUUCUUUUCAAAUUUUAGCCUUGUUAGAUCGACUCCUCUUAUAUAUUAAUUUUGUUUAUAUUUCAUAGCGAUUGAAUUUGUGUUUUUUCUAUCAGAUCUAUCUGCAGAAAUUCUUUUUGUCUACUGAAGCGUAGAUUAGCCAAUUCUGACAAUAGGGGGACUCGUUUUUUAGCUGAAUUUUAUGAUAUUGGAAUCCUUAUUUAUUUUCUUUCCCUUUUUUUUCUUGAUAAUUUUAAGAUUUACCCAUCUUUGCUCUUACCCUUUUUCUUCGAUUAAUAUAUGAUGCAGUUUAGGAUAUGGCAGAAGAGGUAGAGUACCGUUGUUUUAUUGGUGGUCUUUCAUGGUCUACAUCUGAUAGAGGCCUGAAAGAGGCAUUUGAAAAGUUUGGUCAUCUUCUUGAGGCCAAGGUAGUUGUUGACAAGUUCUCUGGACGAUCUCGUGGAUUUGGAUUUGUCACUUUUGAUGAGAAGAAAGCAAUGGAAGAUGCUAUUGAAGCAAUGAAUGGAAUGGACUUAGAUGGGCGAACUAUUACUGUUGAUAAAGCCCAGCCUCACCAAGGUUCAGGCAGAGAUCAGGAUGGUGAUCGCAACCGUGAGCGUGGGAGGGAUCGUGAUCAGAACCGUGACCUUGGAGGCAGACGCACAGGUGGUGGUGGGGAGUGCUUUAAGUGUGGUAAGCCUGGACAUUUUGCUAGGGAGUGUCCAAGUGAAGGGGCAAGAGGAGGUCGGUAUGGGGGCAGAGAUGAGAGGUAUAGUGGCGGCGGCGGUGGCGGUGGUGAUGGGUGGUGGUGUUUCAAGGAGUUGAGAGCGUGGAGAGUUGGAUUCCAUGCUUAGUUCAUCCUUAGCUUUCGUAUGUUCUCUAUAUGGGUUCAAAG
rnacentral:misc_RNA from 1 species